GCCUGGCUGGCUCAGUAGGUAGAGUGUAUGACUGUUGAUUUCAAGGUUGUAAGUUUGAGCCCUAUGUUGGGUG
rnacentral:tRNA from 1 species